GCGAAUGGCUCAUUACAACAGCUAUAAUUUACUUGUUCUAUUCCUUUAAACGGAUAACUGCGGUAAUUCUGGAGCCAAUACGUGCUAAAAGCCGAAUUCAGCAAUGAGUUCGGUGCACUUAUCGGAGCAAAACCCUUCCUGGUUUUAUGCUAACUCUGGAUAACACUGCUUAUCGCACGACCUCGUGUCGGCGAAGUUACAUUCAAGUAUCUGCCUUAUCAACUUUCGAUGGUAGUGUAUUGGACUGCCAUGGUGUUGACGGGUAACGGAGAAUCAGGGUUCGACUCCGGAGAGGGAGCCUUAGAAACGGCUACCAUGUCUAAGGACAGCAGCAGGCGCGCAACUUAUCCACUGUUCAUUGAACGAGAUAGUGACGAGAAAUAACAAGAUCUAUUCCUUCGGGGAUGGAUCAUUGGAAUGGUUUGAUUUUAAAAUCAUUAAAGAGUAUCAAUGAGAGGGCAAGUCUGGUGCCAGCAGCCGCGGUAAUUCCAGCU
rnacentral:rRNA from 1 species